GAAGACCAAGGGUUCCUGUCCAACGUUAAUCGGGGCAGGGUAAGUCGACCCCUAAGGCGAGGCCGAAAGGCGUAGUCGAUGGGAAACGGGUUAAUAUUCCCGUACUUCUUACAAUUGCGAUGGGGGGACGGAGAAGGCUAGGUGGGCCUGGCGACGGUUGUCCAGGUUCAAGUGCGUAGGCUUAAGAGUUAGGUAAAUCCGGCUCUUUUUAAGGCUGAGACACGACGUCGAGCACCUACGGGUGUGAAGUCAUUGAUGCCAUGCUUCCAGGAAAAGCCUCUAAGCUUCAGAUUGUAAGGAAUCGUACCCCAAACCGACACAGGUGGUCGGGUAGAG
rnacentral:rRNA from 1 species